GAUGAACGCUGGCGGCGUGCCUGAUACAUGCAAGUCGAACGGACCAGCAACCGGCGACUGGCUAAUGGCUUCGGCCUGCAGCCAAGAGCCCUGCUGGUUAGUGGCGGACGGGUGAGUAACACGUAGGUGACCUGCCCCGAAGUGGGGGACAACUACUGGAAACGGUAGCUAAUACCUCAUGUGAUCCGUCAUUCGCUUGGCGGAUUAAAGCUCCGGCGCUUCGGGAUGGGCCUGCGGCCGAUUAGCUAGUUGGUAGGGUAAUGGCCUACCAAGGCGAUGAUCGGUAGCUGGUCUGAGAGGAUGGUCAGCCACACUGGCACUGAGAUACGGGCCAGACUCCUACGGGAGGCAGCAGUAAGGGAUAUUGCGCAAUGGGGGAAACCCUGACGCAGCAACGCCGCGUGGGCGAUGAAGGUCUUCGGAUUGUAAAGCCCUUUUCUGGGGGAUGAGAAAGGACAGUACCUCAGGAAUAAGUCUCGGCUAACUACGUGCCAGCAGCCGCGGUAAUACGUAGGGGGCGAGCGUUAUCCGGAUUUACUGGGCGUAAAGAGGGCGUAGGCGGCUUUUCAAGUCGGAUGUGAAAUCUCCCGGCUCAACUGGGAGGGACCAUUCCAUACUGUUGGGCUAGAGGGCAGCAGAGGGAAGCGGAAUUCCCGGUGUAGUGGUGAUAUGCGUAGAUAUCGGGAGGAACACCAGUGGCGAAGGCGGCUUCCUGGGCUGUUUCUGACGCUGAGGUCCGAAAGCGUGGGGAGCAAACAGGAUUAGAUACCCUGGUAGUCCACGCCGUAAACGAUGGACACUAGGUAUGGGGAGUAUCGACCCUCUCCGUGCCGAAGCUAACGCUUUAAGUGUCCCGCCUGGGGACUACGGCCGCAAGGCUA
rnacentral:rRNA from 1 species